GACGAACGCUGGCGGCGUGCUUAACACAUGCAAGUCGAGCGGUAAGGCCUCUUCGGGGGUACACGAGCGGCGAACGGGUGAGUAACACGUGGGUGACCUGCCCCGCACUCUGGGAUGAGCCUGGGAAACUGGGUCUAAUACCGGAUAUGACCUUUGGCUGCAUGGCUGGGGGUGGAAAGUUUUUUCGGUGUGGGAUGGGCCCGCGGCCUAUCAGCUUGUUGGUGGGGUGAUGGCCUACCAAGGCGACGACGGGUAGCCGGCCUGAGAGGGCGGCCGUUCGGGCUGGGACUGAGAUAAGGCCCAGAGUCCUACAGGAGGCAGCAGUGGGGAAGGUUGCGCUAUGGGCGGAAGCCUGACGCAACGGCGCGGCGUGGGGGAUGACGGCCUUCGGGUUGUAGACCUCUUUCGCCAGGGACGAAGCGUGAGUGACGGUACCUGGAUAGGAAGCACCGGCCAACUACGUGCCAGCCGCCGCCGUAACAC
rnacentral:rRNA from 1 species